rnacentral:misc_RNA from 1 species
GGAACAUGAUGAACAAGGUAUUUCCUACCAUAAAAUUAUAAUAAUUGCAUUUUGUAUCACAUUUCUUGUUUAUUGAAUUCAACAUUUCUCUUCUUUUGGCAUUAUAAUGUGGCAUUUGUCUAAUUUUGUUUCCAAUUUUUGUUCUCUUUCUUGAGAUUGUUUGUAGUAAAAGUUCCUCUUAAGAUGUCUUUUGGUCUUGUUGAGCAAACUAUAUUCAGUAAUGAAGUCCCUAAAA